rnacentral:rRNA from 1 species
GACGAACGCUGGCGGCGUGCUUAACACAUGCAAGUCGAACGGAAAGGCCCUGCUUUUGUGGGGCGCUCGAGUGGCGAACGGGUGAGUAACACGUGAGUAACCUGCCCUUGACUUUGGGAUAACUUCAGGAAACUGGGGCUAAUACCGGAUAGGAGCUCCUGCUGCAUGGUGGGGGUUGGAAAGUUUCGGCGGUUGGGGAUGGACUCGCGGCUUAUCAGCUUGUUGGUGGGGUAGUGGCUUACCAAGGCUUUGACGGGUAGCCGGCCUGAGAGGGUGACCGGCCACAUUGGGACUGAGGUACGGCCCAGACUCCUACGGGAGGCAGCAGUGGGGAAUAUUGCACAAUGGGCGGAAGCCUGAUGCAGCAACGCCGCGUGCGGGAUGACGGCCUUCGGGUUGUAAACCGCUUUCGCCUGUGACGAAGCGUGAGUGACGGUAAUGGGUAAAGAAGCACCGGCUAACUACGUGCCAGCAGCCGCGGUGAUACGUAGGGUGCGAGCGUUGUCCGGAUUUAUUGGGCGUAAAGGGCUCGUAGGUGGUUGAUCGCGUCGGAAGUGUAAUCUUGGGGCUUAACCCUGAGCGUGCUUUCGAUACGGGUUGACUUGAGGAAGGUAGGGGAGAAUGGAAUUCCUGGUGGAGCGGUGGAAUGCGCAGAUAUCAGGAGGAACACCAGUGGCGAAGGCGGUUCUCUGGGCCUUUCCUGACGCUGAGGAGCGAAAGCGUGGGGAGCGAACAGGCUUAGAUACCCUGGUAGUCCACGCUGUAAACGGUGGGUACUAGGUGUGGGGUCCAUUCCACGGGUUCCGUGCCGUAGCUAACGCUUUAAGUACCCCGCCUGGGGAGUACGGCCGCAAGGCUAAAACUCAAAGGAAUUGACGGGGCCCCGCACGAGCGGCGGAGCAUGCGGAUUAAUUCGAUGCAACGCGUAGAACCUUACCUGGGUUUGACAUGGAUCGGGAGCGCUCAGAGAUGGGUGUGCCUCUUUUGGGGUCGGUUCACAGGUGGUGCAUGGCUGUCGUCAGCUCGUGUCGUGAGAUGUUGGGUUAAGUCCCGCAACGAGCGCAACCCUUGUUCACUGUUGCCAGCACGUUAUGGUGGGGACUCAGUGGAGACCGCCGGGGUCAACUCGGAGGAAGGUGGGGAUGACGUCAAGUCAUCAUGCCCCUUAUGUCCAGGGCUUCACGCAUGCUACAAUGGCUGGUACAGAGAGUGGCGAGCCUGUGAGGGUGAGCGAAUCUCGGAAAGCCGGUCUCAGUUCGGAUUGGGGUCUGCAACUCGACCUCAUGAAGUCGGAGUCGCUAGUAAUCGCAGAUCAGCAACGCUGCGGUGAAUACGUUCCCGGG